rnacentral:snRNA from 1 species
AAACUUACCUGGCAGGGGAGAUACCAUGAUCACGAAGGUGGUUUUCCCAGGGCAAAGCUUAUCCAUUGCACUCCAGAUGUGCUGACUCCUGCUAUUUCCCAAAUGUGGGAAAUUCAACUGCGUAAUUUGUGGUGGUGGGGGACUGCAUUCGUGCUCUGCUCCCU